UACGUAGGGUGCGAGCGUUUGUCCGGGAAUUAUUGGGCGUAAAGGGCUCGUAGGCGGUUUGUCGCGUCGGGAGUGAAAACACCGGGGCUUAACUCGGUGCUUGCUUUCGAUACGGGCAGACUAGAGGUAUGCAGGGGGAGAACGGAAUUCCUGGUGUAGCGGUGAAAAUGCGCAGAUAUCUGGAGGAACACCGGUGGCGAAGGCGGCAUCCUGGACCGGUAUUGACGCUGAGGCGCGAAAAGCCAGGGGGAGCAAACGGGG
rnacentral:rRNA from 1 species